rnacentral:misc_RNA from 1 species
UCAUGUAGUGGUGGAGCAUGGAGACAUCAGAAGAGCAGCCGUUGACUUGUGAAAGCUGUCUGAAUGCGAUUGAGGACGACGAGUGUUUGCAGGCGCUUCACACGGUGUGGCAUACCGAUUGUUUCAGGUGCUCCGUGUGUGACAUUUUGUUGAGCAGCUGGUACUUUGAAGAGGAUGGGAUGCUGUUCUGCAAGAGUGACUACCUGUACAACUACGGCGAGGUGUGCCAGAAUUGCUCGGAAAUUAUUACUGGCCCAGUCAUGGUUGCAGGAGACCACAAAUUUCAUCCCGAAUGCUUCUGCUGUGCAAGCUGUAAUGCAUUUAUUGGGGAUGGAGACGCAUAUGCCUUAGUGGAGCGUUCCAAGCUUUAUUGUGGGCCUUGCUACCGGCACCACAUGCAGCAGCCUCUCAGUCAACACAGUGUCCUGGCUGGGCCACACAGCAUUCAGCUGCUUGAGAUUCCAGCGAGCAGAGGGACGCGCAGCAUCAAGCUGGGCUCACCUUGUCUUGGCCAUCACGGGGUCCACAUCACCGACCUGGAUGUCAGCCCCGACCUCAUGGCAUUGCACAUUGGGGAUAAGAUCCUUGAAGUCAAUGGAACACCUCUCAGCAGCCAGUCACUGGAAGAGGUCGAAGAGCUCAUCAAGUCAACGAACAAGGUGCUGCAUCUGACCAUUGAGCAUGAUCCAAGCAAUGUCCCAAAGUGUCCUCUUCUCUGUCCUCCCCGAAGAAAAGUUUUGAGUGACAAGGAAAGGCGGUACAAAAGAAAGGAUGAAGGUGUCAUGGGCACAAGUGGCACGAGGUCACGCCAGCUGAAGAGAUCCAGUGGUGGCAGGGAGCGCUCCUCAUCUCUUCCCCGUCUACUAGUCAGUGAUUCAUCUGCGAGUGGCAGCCAGCCAUCUUACGACCUCAGCCGAACCAAGUCAUUCCGCGUUGAGCCAAAGAACCAGAGGAUUUUCCGGGCAUCAGACCUGGUCCAAGGAAAGCUCUUGGGAAAAGGCUUUUUUGGCCAAGUGUACCUGGUGACCCACCGUGAGACAGGCGAGGUGAUGGUGGUCAAAGAGUUGCAUCGGUUGGACGAGGAGGCCCAGCGAAACUUCCUCAAAGAGGUGGCCGUGCUGCGUUCCCUGCACCACGAGAACGUGCUGCGCUUCAUUGGUGUGCUGUAUCGAGACAAGCGCCUGCACCUGGUCACAGAGUAUGUCAGUGGGGGAUCCCUGCGCAGCCUGCUCCACGACUCGAGUGAGCCCCUGCCCUGGCUGCAGAGGUUGCGCCUGGCCAGGGACAUUGCUGCAGGAAUGUGCUAUCUUCACUCUAUGAACAUCAUUCACAGAGACCUGAACUCUCAUAACUGCCUGGUCAAAGAGGAUCGAACAGUCGUGGUGGCCGACUUUGGACUGGCUCGUGUCAUGAGUGAGCCCAGUGUGGCCGGGGCUGGCCGCAGGAGCUCUAGUGGCAAGCGCGCCUCUGCUGGUGGUGGAGGGGCCGGCAGCAAACGGCCCGAGCGCAAGAAGCGCUACACGGUUGUGGGCAACCCAUACUGGAUGGCACCCGAAAUGAUGACCGGGAAGCUGUACGACGAGAAGGUGGACCUCUUCUCCUUUGGUAUCGUCCUCUGUGAGAUAAUUGGCAGGGUGCAGGCUGACCCCGACUACUUGCCCCGAAGCAAUGACUUUGGACUCAACACUGUUGUGUUCAAAGAGAAGUUUUGUGCAAGUUGUCCAGAGCCCUUCUACCGCAUUGCCUUCUUAUGCUGUGACAUAGACCCAGAGAAGAGGCCCCCAUUUGAGCUGCUUCAGAAAUGGCUGGAAGGAAUAUCCCUGCACCUCAUUGUGGACAGCCCUCUUCCCAAAGAACUAAUGAGCGACAUAGUUGACUACCAGGGUGCAGUUGUCACCAGUACAGACUCUACACCGGAGUCCAUGACACUGCCCGAAUGCGGACGGCCUCCCUUGAGAACCAUCAGUGAGCAGGCUUUGGAUUCCCCACGGUCAUCACUAGAGUUGGUCUAAAUUGCUGCACUUGUUGAUUUCACCUCAGCAUUUCAUCGUAGCACUCACUAUAGCUCCAUGCAUCAUACCAGUGCUUCCGGAACUGAACUACAGAUGUGUUGUGUACUUCCUUGAACAGAAAUGUCUCUUUGCUGAGACAGUGAGGAGUUUGUAGAGAAGACACACGGUGAAACUUCCCUUGGGAUGUGGCGGUCAUCUUCUCCGGAUCAGAGACACUCGAGAAGGCAAGCAACAACAUUUUCCGUGGCAUCACUGACGGUGGAAUAAGGCCUGGAAGUAUGUGUCAUCGACUCUAAUGGCAAUGCAGGCGCUGGAUUUGGAUAAUUCCCGUGUACACCAGAAGUCCAAUGAACAUGCGCAUCUCCUCCUCAGUGACCUCCUGCCAGGAUACGUCCCUUUCACUGUUGGUUGGCUUUUUGAAAAUGUACAUCGACGCAUGCUUCUGCAGUGAAAAACAACACAAAGAAGCCGCCGCAUGGCACUCCAGAGCGCUAUGUCAAGGUCCACUCCGUGCCGCCUUCACGGAGAGAACUGCUCUUUCUGCAGCCAGUGCUGAAUGCUCCUGCCCGAACGAAGUUGACGUCUUGCAAAUAAGAGCUGUGACCUUUAGUACGCACGGAAUAUGUUUACAUCAACGCACAGCAGCGAUAAAGCGGCCCGAGGAGAGAGUGAAACAUCCGGCGGAUACCUGCUGAUGUUCCGGGACAGUUUGAUGCACUAUCGCUGUCCGUACUGAAGUCUGACGAAUCAGUCAUCUUCCGUGUCUGUACUGCUACCAUCAUCCAGAGACUGACGCUCAGAUUCAUCAGAAUCCAUUGAAAUUCACAGUUUUCGUGGAGCACCCGCGAGCAACGUCGACGCCAUAACCAAAACCACGAGCGCUCACCUCCCCAACUGUGAAGGAGCCUUAAAAGUUCCCCCGCCGUGGAAAAAAGAAACUUAAAAGUGAAACUGAUAAAAUACUGCCUCUAAUACCCUUUAAAUGGCAUUAGCUGUCCAGAACCGCUUAGAGAGCGCCAAAAUUUGAACUUGAAGUCAUCGAUAACAUACUAUCGAUGAGAAUAGGUGCAGUCACGAAAGUGUUAAAGAAAUAUGCAGCACAUUAUAAGGCCUAACAGUCUCGGUUCUUUUUUUCAAGCAAAGAUUGUUAUGGCUCACAGAUAUCUGUGGCAGUGUCGUACAUCAGAAACUCUGUGCCGGCGAGCGCCCAGAAAUGCAACUGUAGAAGGCGCACCAGUCGCAUGCGUAUUUGUACAAGUCACUUUCCAGUAAUUGAUGCUCUUUCGAUCCGUUCCUGAUAUGGCAAUCUGAUCUUUUAUCGAGGUGACUCAUCAUUUCACAUUGCCAUGUUUCAUUGCUACCUGGAUAUGAAUGCAUGACCGUCGUCGUUGCCUGUAGCAAUUGAAGUGUUACGCUGCUAAUCUUGUGGGUGAGGGAGCGCUGUGCAAUAGUAGUACGUCAGGCAUGCACGCACACCCAUUUUCCCGAUAGUGCUCCUGAACUUUUUUUUCUUCUUCUUUCAUCCUAUGGUUGUUUGGGUGCUUCGUAGGCGGGCAAUCAGCAUUAUUUGUGAAUGUUAGUGACGUGAAAAUGCGGAUGUUCAGCUAGAAGUUACAAAGGCAGCAAAUAUUUUCUGGCAUGGACAAGCAAAAAGUAUGAAUUAACCGAACUUAUGCGCUGAGGCAGAUUGAAUUAAGUGGCUUUAGUAUGCAUUGAAAACAUAGCGGGCCGAUGAGAAAAUUAAAAAUUUGUUUGAUUUAUCCGAAAGUUUGAAUGAUCAGAGUUUGAGUUAUUGAGAGCCUACUGUAUAAGGUACAAGAUGUGUGUUGCAUAUGAGCUGAUUAUGUGUGUAAUGCAGAAAUACAUAGCAUGUUUUUGUGCCCUCAGCAUGAGCAUGGCUGGUUGGAGGAAGUGAAAAACCCAAAAGGACGGUGAUAGAGGGAGGGGCCUCUCCACUACCCUCUUGGCCCAAUCCAGAAUCCUGGGCCACCGAGCUGCACAUCGCAUCCUCCCACUGCUCCUUACCCUUAAUAUUAAGAGAUUUAGGGGGUUGAUGCUGAGUACACGCCACGUAAUAGACGUUGGCUCAUUGAUGGUAGAAAAUGCAAAAGGGGGAUGGGUGUAUAAGUUGGACACACACCUACACCACCUAAUGAUAUCGUGGCAACACCCCUGCCUCACGGUGUCAGUCCUCUAUGAAUGUGGCUACCUGGAACAAAGGUCUUUAUUCUCUUAUUGCUAAAUGCAUGAGAACUGACACUUUAUACAGAUCACAAUUUUUUAUAGAAUAGGAAUUUUUAUGCUACCUUCAUUUGGAAGCUACGCUUGUUGCUAGGAACUUGUUAAAAACAACGUGCAUCUUAAUAUUUGAAAAUGCAUAUUGAAUGCAUUGUAUGGUUAACAUCUGUCUACACAAGAGCUGCAACCACUAGGAUUUCACUGCCGUACAUUAUCUUCGUUGUUCAGCGGAAAUGAUUAACUUGAUGUCUCUCUAGUUCACAGCCAUGACUGCAGUUGUAGCUCGGCCACCCAUUAACAUCAAGAUUCAUUGUCUGAAUAUCGGUUGCGUGCUGGAGUAAGUCCGAAAGUGCGUCUUAAAUUUGUAUUAUUUAAGUGCCAUUUCUUGCAGCACAAAGCUAUCCAAUGGGGUACUGCCGCUCCAUGGACUGUAAUUAAUGACUCAGAUUACCCAUUAAGCUGCCUUAUCUAACAGCGUGUAGAGAAAGCUUCAGCAGAAAAUAAGUUUCAUUGGUCCUCCUUCAGUUUGUUAUAGACUUAAAUAAAGAGGGAUUAUUUUAUGUUAACACUUGCGACGCGCUGUUUUUGAACACGAAGACAGACUGAAAAACAACAGGUAGUACACGCACGAGCGCAAACUAACAACUGUUUAUUUGAUGAGAACAUCACACUUGUAUACUGGGUGAAAGAAAGAAAGAACUGAUAGCAUGGGCAAAGCCCACAACAGGAGGACAACCAUCUGCGUCACAUAAUCAAAUCUGUGCCCGUCUAAUAUCUAAAUUCCUUGUAAAAAUGACACCUCAUCAUCGGUCAAAUGAAUCGAUGGUGCACUAACACACUUGUCUUCGCCGAUGUUGCGCAUCGUGAAGGCUUCAAUAAUCUCUCGUUCCCUCGUGUCUUUAGAUCGCGAUACCACUGUGGUGCCCUUGAAGUCUGGCUGACAUUUGCACCUGUUGCGGUGGGUCGCUAAGUUGCCAGGGUGACAAAUGUGCUUAUUAUUGUAAUUAUGCUUGCGUAAACGUGAGGUAAGGCACCUACUGGUCUGUCCAAUGUACCGUUUUCCACAUGAUAAAGGAACACUAAAUACAACAUCUUUUUUUCCCUCAAGAGGGAUUACUAAAUCAGUAGAAAGGGGUAAAAAUAUGCGUUAUUUUUAAUGACAGCAUAUUUGCUGUGGCAGGUGAGGACUUCAGUUGCCAUGUGUGAAACACGAGAUGUAUCUAUAUAUUUAAAACAAAGGCAUUUGGAAUGCACAUCUGCUUUUCCAUCUUGCUUAACCUGAAAGAAAGGCUCUUUAGUUUGUCUAAAUACUUCCCAUCAUAAGUAUAAUUGAGAGCCUCAUGUCACAUUUUGCAACAACCUGAAUUAUGGUGGUGAAUAUAUUUCAUUGUAAUUUGCAGUAUGCACUGUCCAUUCAGUUCAUUUGGGACCACUGUGCUCUGUGCAUUCCACAUUUUCGAACUUCUGUGUCUCCAGUAAUUGCGUUGUCUACUUGAUGCACUCGCACUGUUUCGAUACGCGUCUUUUCCAAGCUUGCUUUUUUGUCUGUGCUGUGCUGUGUGUGAACGAAGUUCUUGGCCAUGUGCCUGCCUAGCUGGUAGAGGGCUAGUUGUUGGAGACUCGGGCUAUUUUGCUUUGAUUCACAAGUUGCACAUGGAACACUUCAGUCUGAUAAAUUAGCUUAAACAUAUCUGUAAGCAAAAGACCAUAUAAAAGUGUGCUUCUCUAUGCAAUCUCAUUGUAAAGGAAGGCUGCACUUUCUUGUAACACUUGCUUGUUCCAGUUUCGCCACUUGUAAAUUUGAAAGUGAUGCUGGGAAAGUACAAAAUAAAUGAGAAAAAGGGCGAGACUGAGUUUUUAAAAUUUUUUGUUAGUCUCAACAUGCAAAGCCAACAGAUAUGGAAGUCUUAGGAAGAAUUGGGAAAACGGCUUGUGUUAAUUCAGAUAUCAAAAUAAGGUGGACAAGAAACAACUUAAGGCAGCUGGCAGUCUAAAGAGCAUUUGCAUUACGCAUGUGGUGCUGUAGUGUCGGUUGUUGUUUACCUUGGCCAUGGCAGUGGGUGGUAGCCCUGGUGCUGCCAAUGUCUUGAGUGCACACAAGAAACCUGGUUUGCAUAAGGGGAUGAUAGGUUGUGUUGCGGAGAAUGUGCACACAGAUGUAGCUUACAGCAAAGAGCAACAAUCAGUUUAUCUAGACUGCCAAAGUAUUUUUUUCAACACCUUAUUUUUAUACAUUUAGCAGAAAUUGUUUAUUACUGAGGAAAGUGAGAGCUAAAUUUCCCAUUUAAACCUUAGUGUGUAUACCUGCAAUUUACAUUUGAAUUCCCAAAUUUGGGCCGUUCCUAUGCAAGAACUGUUUUGUAACUUUCUGCGUCCUUGGUCCUUUUAAAAUGCAGUGUAGUCCCGCUUUGUUAAUAAAUAAUUAACUAGAUUUGAGGUGAUGUCAGUGCCAUCACUGCAAGCUUCUGCAGGAACAAGCACGUGUGGCACAUGUCUUUUGUGAUAUGAGACUUUGCUAUCACAGGAAUGUUAUUCACUAAAGGGGCCUGCAACACUUUUCCAACCAAGUAGCCAUGGAAUGGCUUCAUUAAAGGAGCGUAUUUCCUCACGAACUGACCUCUGCAAAAAUUUUUAGAAUCCGUCCAGUACAAGCGGAGUUACAAAGAUUUAUUGCAGGCUGUAAUUGCUUUCUCUCUUCUCUCGUCCUGAAUAAAGCGCUGGAAGCUAAGCAGCGAGGGGUGGCACGGGGGAAGAAGGUACGUCACGCGCACCUCGUGACCUUGAGCACUUUUUCUUAUUUUUUCUCCUUCGAACGUGCGAAGUACUUUCAGUGCGAUCGCGCGCGGGGGCAAGUGACGGCCUCUCGCGACGGCCGCAGUAACUACCGAGCGCGCCAUGUACAAAUCGGCCGAUGGCGUAGCUAGUGGCAGUGACGCCGUAAGCAUCAUUUUUGUCCAGAGAAAAGGAAGCGCUUUUUAGCUGACUGAGAAUUUAUUGUAAACCCCAGGCCACGUGCUGCGCUAUAAUGUUUGGCUCGCGUGUUCUCGGGUGCCUCGAUUACCUAUCAGCAGCGUUUUCUGACCAUGCUGAAAACGUGUUGCAGGGCCCCUUUAAUGCAGCUUAACACACUGCCAUCAAAGUGCAGUAGUUGAAUCAAUCUAACAUUUUGCGAGAAUUUGGUCAGUUUUAUAUCUAGUUUCCUUGAGCUGCAGUGAUCGAAGAUUCUGAUGUGCAACUAGACCAGCCUGCAUUUAUGUAAAAGGCAGCCAGUUAUGUGCCUGAGUUUGUGCAUGUCGUGGGGCUGAGUUUGUUGUCAAUUGUGAAAGAGUUCCCACACAGUUUGGUGGUUAUGUUACAUAAUGUUUUAUCAUGAGAGAUUACUCUGUGUAACCAUUUUGGAUUGUGUGAUAUAUUCUUGAUUUUAGGACGUGCAACAAAUGAAAACUGCACUAUUUAAGAAGAGCUUAUUUAUUCUCGUGCACAACCUGUUCCACUUUUUUCUCAAAAUAUUUACCCUGUGCCUCUAUGUACAUAGAUACAUUUAACUUAUUUACAUUGUCUCGUUCCACUCCUGUCACAAAGAGCAUUCCUGUGUGUUUGAAGAUGAUGUGUUUUUAUAAAUGUUCCGCUUCCCAGCUCACAUUAUUCCCCUGUCUGGGAGCGUCAAGCUGGCACUUUGCUUCUUUGUUGCAGUCAUAUAUCAGGCCAAGUUCUGGGUAUUUGUUUCUGUUUCUUAGUGCAAGUGUGCUUUAAUUUAUUAAAAGUGACUGUAG